rnacentral:rRNA from 1 species
UACAGAGGGUGCGAGCGUUAAUCGGAAUUACUGGGCGUAAAGAAUGCGUAGGCGGCUUGACAAGUCAGGAGUGAAAUCCCCAGGCUCAACCUGGGAACUGCUUUUGAAACUGUCUUGCUAGAGUCCCGGAGGGGUUGGCGGAAUUCCGAGUGUAGAGGUGAAAUUCGCAGAUAUUCGGAGGAACACCAGUGGCGUAGGCGGCCAACUGGACGGGAACUGACGCUGAGGCAUGAAAGUGUGGGGAGCAAACAGGAUUAGAUACCCUGGUAGUCCACACCGUAAACGAUGUGCGCUAGUUGUUGGAUAGCUUAGCUAUUCAGUGACGGAGCUAACGUUUUAAGCACACCGCCUGGGAAGUACGGCCGCAAGGUUAAA